GGGGGGGGGGGGGGGGGGGGGGGGGGGGGGCGGGGGGGAGGGGGAGGGCGGGGUGUUGUGGGGGGGUCGGGUGGCGAAGGGGUGGGUAACACGUGAGUGGCCUGCCCUUGACUUUGGGGUAACUUCAGGAAACUGGGGCUAAUCCCGGAUAGGAGCUCCUGCUGCAUUGUGGGGGUUGGAAAGUUUCGGCGGUUGGGGACGGGCUCGCGGAUUAUCAGCUUGUUGGUGGGGUAGUGGCUUACCAAGGCCUUGACGGGUAGCCGGGCUGAGCGGGUGACCGGCCACAUUGGGACUGAGAUACGGCCCAGACUCCUACGGGAGGCAGCAGUGGGGAAUAUUGCACAAUGGGCGGAAGCCUGAUGCAGCAACGCCGCGUGCGGGAUGACGGCCUUCGGGUUGUAAACCGCUUUCGCCUGUGACGAAGCGUGAGUGACGGUAAUGGGUAAAGAAGCACCGGCUAACUACGUG
rnacentral:rRNA from 1 species